ACCUUUGUGGUGUAAUGAACACGUUAACUUUUCGCGUUAAAGAUAGAUUUUAAUCUUAAGGGUU
rnacentral:tRNA from 2 species